rnacentral:tRNA from 1 species
GGGGAUUUAGCUCAGCAGCACAGCGCCUGCCUGCCAAGCAUGAGGUCCUGAGUUCGAUCCUCAGUACCA